GGCGGCAGCGGUCGCCCGCGUAAUGCAGCCUACUAAGGUAGCCAGUCCUAAGCCUGGGUAAAUGCAGAAGGCGAA
rnacentral:ribozyme from 1 species